GACGAACGCUGGCGGCGUGCUUAACACAUGCAAGUCGAACGGAAAGGCCCUGCUUUUGUGGGGUGCUCGAGUGGCGAACGGGUGAGUAACACGUGAGUAACCUGCCCUUGACUUUGGGAUAACUUCAGGAAACUGGGGCUAAUACCGGAUAGGAGCCCCUGCUGCAUGGUGGGGGUUGGAAAGUUUCGGCGGUUGGGGAUGGACUCGCGGCUUAUCAGCUUGUUGGUGGGGUAGUGGCUUACCAAGGCUUUGACGGGUAGCCGGCCUGAGAGGGUGACCGGCCACAUUGGGACUGAGAUACGGCCCAGACUCCUACGGGAGGCAGCAGUGGGGAAUAUUGCACAAUGGGCGGAAGCCUGAUGCAGCAACGCCGCGUGCGGGAUGACGGCCUUCGGGUUGUAAACCGCUUUCGCCUGUGACGAAGCGUGAGUGACGGUAAUGGGUAAAGAAGCACCAGCUAACUACGUG
rnacentral:rRNA from 1 species